AUCCCCCAAACCAAGGGGGGAUGAGAACCACCGACCGGAGUUCGACAACUGGCGCAGCCAGUUGGACAGACGACGAGCUUGCGAGGAGACUGCCCGAAGGGCGAGCGCAGCGAGUCAAUCCCCCCUCACCGCCA
rnacentral:sRNA from 2 species